CCUACGGGUGGCAGCAGUGAGGAAUAUUGGUCAAUGGUCGGGAGACUGAACCAGCCAAGCCGCGUGAGGGAUGAAGGUACUGCGUAUCGUACACCUCUUUUGUCAGGGAACAAAGUCGGGGACGCGUCCCCGGAUGAGUGUACCUGAAGAAAAAGCAUCGGCUAACUCCGUGCCAGCAGCCGCGGUCAUACGGAGGAUGCGAGCGUUAUCCGGAUUUAUUGGGUUUAAAGGGUGCGCAGGCGGUAUGGUAAGUCACGGGUAAAAGCCCGGGGCUACACCCCGGCCCGCCGUUGAAACUGGCAGUCUCGAGUUGGAGAGAAGUAUGCGGAAUGCGCGGUGUAGCGGUGAAAUGCAUAGAUAUCGCGCAGAACUCCGAUUGCGAAGGCAGCAUGCCGGCUCCACACUGACGCUGAGGCACGAAAGCGUGGGUAUCGAACAGGAUUAGAUACCCUUGUAGUC
rnacentral:rRNA from 1 species